rnacentral:rRNA from 1 species
GAUGAACGCUGGCGGCGUGCCUAACACAUGCAAGUCAAGCGAUCUUCUUCGGAAGAGAGCGGCGGACGGGUGAGUAACGCGUGGGUAACCUGCCCUGUACACACGGAUAACAUACCGAAAGGUAUGCUAAUACGGGAUAACAUAAGAAAGUCGCAUGGCUUUCUUAUCAAAGCUUUUACGGUACAGGAUGGACCCGCGUCUGAUUAGCUAGUUGGUAAGGUAACGGCUUACCAAGGCGACGAUCAGUAGCCGACCUGAGAGGGUGAUCGGCCACAUUGGAACUGAGACACGGUCCAAACUCCUACGGGAGGCAGCAGUGGGGAAUAUUGCACAAUGGGCGAAAGCCUGAUGCAGCAACGCCGCGUGAGCGAUGAAGGCCUUCGGGUCGUAAAGCUCUGUCCUCAAGGAAGAUAAUGACGGUACUUGAGGAGGAAGCCCCGGCUAACUACGUGCCAGCAGCCGCGGUAAUACGUAGGGGGCUAGCGUUAUCCGGAAUUACUGGGCGUAAAGGGUGCGUAGGCGGUCUUUCAAGUCAGAAGUGAAAGGCUACGGCUCAACCGUAGUAAGCUUUUGAAACUGUAAGACUUGAGUGCAGGAGAGGAGAGUGGAAUUCCUAGUGUAGCGGUGAAAUGCGUAGAUAUUAGGAGGAACACCAGUUGCAAAGCGGCUCUCUGGACUGUA